GGAUUAGCGGCGGACGGGUGAGUAACACGUGAGUAACCUGCCUUAGACAUUGGGAUAGCCUCGGGAAACCGGGAUUAAUACCAAAUAAAAUCAUAAUGACACAUGUCAUAACGAUCAAAACUCCGGUGGUCUAAGAUGGACUCGCGUCCCAUUAGCUAGUUGGUAGAGUAAAAGCCUACCAAGGCGACGAUGGGUAGCCGGCCUGAGAGGGUGAACGGCCACAUUGGAACUGAGAAACGGUCCAA
rnacentral:rRNA from 1 species